UAGGGACAAACGGCAGGGCAUUAACUCCGAGAGGCAACGAGGAGAGCGCUUUGCGCUCACGAACUGACUAAUCCCAUGCUUCCAAGAAAAUCUCCGGUGGAGUUAACCGCUGUGUCGUCCGUACCGUAAACCAACUCAGGUGGGCGGGAAGAAUAUUCCAAGGCGCUUGAGAGAACCCAUCCUAAGGAACUCGGCAAAAUUCUACCGUAACUUCGGGAGAAGGCAGGCCGGCAAACGUGAUGAGCUUCGCGCUUUAAGCGUUUGUUGGUUGCAGAGAAUCGGGGGUAGCGACUGUUUACCAAGAACACAGGACUCUGCGAAGUCGGAAGACGACGUAUAGGGUCUGAUGCCUGCCCGGUGCUGGAAAGUUAAGGGGAGAUGUCAGUCGCAAGACAAAGCAUCGAACCGAAGCCCCAGUAAACGGCGGCCGUAACAAUAACGGUCCUAAGGUAGCGAAAUUCCUUGUCGGGUAAGUUCCGACCUGCACGAAUGGCAUAACGACUUCCCCACUGUCUCGGGAUGGGACUCAGUGAAGUAGCACUAGGGGUGAAGAUACCCUUUACCUGCGGCAAGACGGAAAGACCCCAUGAACCUUCACUGUAACUUGGCACUGAACUUCGGGCUUAAUUGCGUAGGAUAGGUGGGAGGCUUUGAACCGGGGAUUUUGGUUUCCGGGGAGCCAACGUUGAAAUACCACCCUGUUCAGUCUGGAGUUCUAACCUUCGCCCGUUAACCGGGCGGGGAACAAUGCCUGGUGGGCAGUUUGACUGGGGCGGUCGCCUCCAUAAAAGUAACGGAGGCGCGCGAAGGUCCCCUCAGGCUGAUUGGAAACCAGCCGUUGAGUGUAAUGGCACAAGGGGGCUUGACUGCGAGACAAACAAGUCGAGCAGAUACGAAAGUAGGUCAUAGUGAUCCGGUGGUACCUCAUGGAAGGGCCAUCGCUCAUCGGAUAAAAGGUACUCUGGGGAUAACAGGCUGAUCACGCCCAAGAGUUCACAUCGACGGCGUGGUUUGGCACCUCGAUGUCGGCUCAUCGCAUCCUGGGGCUGAAGUAGGUCCCAAGGGUUUGGCUGUUCGCCAAUUAAAGCGGUACGCGAGCUGGGUUCAGAACGUCGUGAGACAGUUCGGUCCCUAUCUGCCGUGGGCGCAGGAGUUUUGCGAGGACCUGCCCGUAGUACGAGAGGACCCGGGUGGACGGACCGCUGGUGUUCCGGUUGUCAUGCCAAUGGCAUCGCCGGGUAGCUAUGUCCGGAACAGAUAACCGCUGAAAGCAUCUAAGCGGGAAGCUGACCUCCAGAUUAGAACUCCCAGAGCGCAAGCUCUCUGAAGGACCCUUGUAGACUACGAGGUUGAUAGGCCGGGUGUGGAAGCGCUGUGAGGCGCGUAGCUAACCGGUACUAAUCGUCCGUGAGGCUCGACCGC
rnacentral:rRNA from 1 species